CAAACGCUGGCGGCGUGCCUAACACAUGCAAGUCGAACGAGAAAGUCGGUUUCGGCCGAUGAGUAAAGUGGCGCACGGGUGAGUAACGCGUGGAUAAUCUACCCUUUAGUCCGGAAUAACUUGCCGAAAGGUGAACUAAUACCGGAUGACAUCCCGGGUUCUCCGGAAAUCGGGAUCAAAGAAGGCCUCUGCUUGCAAGCUUUUGCUGAAGGAUGAGUCCGCGUACCAUUAGCUAGUUGGUGGGGUAAUGGCCUACCAAGGUUAUGAUGGUUAGCUGGUCUGAGAGGAUGAUCAGCCACACUGGAACUGAAACACGGUCCAGACUCCUACGGGAGGCAGCAGUGAGGAAUAUUGCGCAAUGGGGGCAACCCUGACGCAGCAACGCCGCGUGAGUGAGGAAGGUUUUCGGAUUGUAAAGCUCUGUCGAGCGGAAAGAAAUGCACGAUGGCUAAUAUCCAUCAUGCUUGACGGUACCGCUAGAGGAAGCACCGGCUAACUCCGUG
rnacentral:rRNA from 1 species